CGAAGAUACUUUGUGCAAAAAUCACGCUUUAAGCUUAAUUCCACGCGAAAUUAUUUCUCAUCCUUAUGCCUUGUUCAGACUACGCCGAAUAUCACCUGAUAUCGCCAGAUUAUAUCGGAUAGCACCUCGAGCGUUCACACUUCAGUGAGCUGAUAUAAUUUGACAUUUGCUUUGGUAGUUGAAAAGAGACACAAAAACAGGUUAAAACUAAAACAAGACAACAAGAUUGAAAUAAUUGUUGGCGAUAUAGCGAGUUCAUGCUGUGCCAGAUAUGACGUGUGGAAGGUGGAACGUCAAAUGUGUACAGCCAAAGGGCUGUCACGCAACAGAGCGAGAAGAAGAAGAAGAAGACAACAAGAGCAAUGGGAUUAGGAUAGAGAUGUCAGUUAGUUGGCUCGCACCAACGCGAACUCUCAUAUGCAAUUGUCAACAUGUGCGGGAUGAAAAUAGCAAAAACAGAGUCUAUGUUUAAGAGUCCCACAAAGAUGAAUCCAAAGGAACCAAAUUAGUGUCAAACGAGGGUACCAAUCGAGCAAUGUAAAUAAACAAGGUGAUAAUGUUAGGAGUGGAUGAAAAGUGUUGUAAUUGAGCGUAAUAAAGAAUAUGUGUUUUUCCGAAGUUUUACUUACACAUUUUAAUCCAACAUUAAACCUGUACACUGGUUCACUUAAAUUUAACAAAACAUCACCGGUGUAAUCUUUCAAAACUGUGUACCUUGUGAAGAAUUUCAAAAAAUGAUAUUCGCUUAUGCAUGGUGAAAAACAGAACUGUAUAGUUCUUGGCAACAAACGGCACAAAAACUGUGUUGCCGAAACGAUAGAUUUUCUCUUCGCGCGACUCUAUAUACCAUAGACUCUGAGCAAAAAUAUUUCCUUCCUUUUUCCUCGCAUGCAACGCGAAUUGCGAAAUUUGUAGGGUUGCGUCAAAUGUCUGUUGGCCGUGUUGCCAACUGCUGGAAAUGUGGUUAUUAUUGGUUUUCGAACAUGAUAUCCGCGAUAGCAUGUAGCCGAGGUGAUAUCCGUUGACAGCUCGAUUGUAUGGGAUAUCAGGUAAUAUCGAUGGUGAUAUGGCCUCGAUAGCACGAAUCGCCUGAUAUCAGGUGAUAUGUGGUGUAGUGUGAACGAGGUAUUAAGUAAGUUUGCAAAAACAGCAUGCUGUAGCAGUGUUGCUGGUAAAAUUCAAUGGUGAACCGUUCGUCAGACAUUCAAUCAGUUUGAGGUUAAUAACUUUUUUUCAAGCAUCGCAGUGCCUUACGAUCUUCAGAAGAGUUUUUCCCAGGAAAAUUUCCUUUAAACAUCAUGUAUUGAUAUAAUUUUAGAAGCAAACUGGACAGCUCUAGAGAAUAAGUUUUGAAAAAGUGGAUUUUCCCAUAUAAAAUCGUAUGGAAACUUUGAAAAUAGGGCGCAAAUAUAUAGUUUCACCGAUCGAUCUGAAAAUUUACACAGUUAUUGUAGGACCCAUAAGGAACACGAAAAGUGCAUGGGAGCUUACAUUCAUUUUUUGUCCCACCCUAAUAUACAUAUAUAGUAGCUGACCCGGCAAACUUCGCCCUGCCUAUUUUACUGUUCAAUUUAAUAAUUUUAAACAUUUCAAAUUCAUUGAUUUCUUUCGAUUUGUUUAUAUCGUUUGAAAUGAUUGGUUUUAUCGGAAUGACAACAUCCUCGACUUUUGGAUUUUGUGCAUCACCUCUAUUCCGGAAAUAUACUGGGUGCAUUUCAGCUGUUUCCGUUGUUUUCCAGAAACUGAAAGAGGUCAUCUUAGAAUUCAAAAUGAUGCCCAGGGUAAAUGCUUGGCUUCUCUACAUCAUUUUUUACAUCAUCAUCUUUACGGACAUAUCCAUAUGUAGUAGUAUUCGGUUAUUUUCGGCUGUUUCCCAGAAGUUGCCAUUCUACAAUUCAAAAUGGUGUCUGAGGUCAGUUUGUAGCUCCUUGCACCAUUCUGGUUCCGGUAAUACUCAUAUUGGGUGUUAUUUGGUCACUUUAGGCUAUUUUUCAGAAACCGUAAGUCGCCAUCUUGUAUUUCAAAAUGGCAUUUGGAAACAAUUUCUGUCCUCUAAGCGUCAUUCUGGUUAAAUAAACACUCAUACUGGAUGGUAUUUGGUCAUUUUCAGCUGUUUUCCAGACACCGGAAGUCGCCAUCUUACAAUUCAAAAUAUUGUCAGAGGUCGAUUUUUGGCUUCAGUGCGUUAUAACAAUAGGGGGUUCCAAUUUAAAAUAUACCUGCUUUUUCUUACCACAGAUAACAGGCAUCAAAGAUGACUCGAACAAGAUACCUGACUCUUGCAGAAUUCAUCGGACAUGAUUGUCGCUGCGCGUGAGCAAAAGUCGAACUAAUUUAUACACUGUUAAUAUAAUGUAUACUUAACGACAAAAUCAACUGACGACAAGGCCAAGACAUGACUGCUGAAAGGUGAAACAAUUUUUUCAGUAUCCAUGUGGACGACUGUACGGUGCUGCCAUCCGAAAAAUGAUAAUAAUGUGUACGAAUGUUUAGUUCUCAAACAUGAUACUGUCCGGAAGAAUCAAGAAUAAUUGGCGCAUUAUUUAAAAUUGAUAUUGAAAUUCUUGAUAACCGCUAUGAGCACGUUCUACAGCCAAGUUUUCCACUCUUGCCGAGGUUAAUAAAGCAAAAAUCGGGUGCCCCGGUGAACCUGACCAGAUGCACAAUGGUGCUGAAACCUGGCUUGCGACAUAUCAAACUUUAAAUGUUGGUAGAAUGGGACCUGAAAAUAAAUAUAACCCCUCAAUAUAAACUCCCACUCUGACAGUCAAUGUUACACUUUUCUUUUGUACUUUGAAGUGCAAAAAAUAUGGCAAUAGCAUUAAGUGCAAAAAAUGACAAUAUCAUUAAUCUGCAUGUUAUCUUAAGCGUCGAGCUGACCAAACUGCUACACCUUUUUCAUAUACAAUCUUGAGCAGCUCAACAAUCGAUGACGGACUAUACACGAUAAAUCGGUUUUGCUCGUAGUGACAAUUUUAUGAGAAUUUAAGUCAUCAGAUGGCAGCACUAACCGUCGGAAAUCGGUCGUAUUCAAAAUGUAUGAAAAAUAUGGGAGUUAGGUAUCUUGUUCUAGUUAUCUUUGCAGACAUUCAAGCUAGUUUUGCUUCAUGUGUAAAAAGACGCAACGGUUUUUUAGCAUGUCGCAAUAUGCAGUAUGGUGGCCAGGGCUGCCAAGUAUACAGAUUUGUCUGUAUUAUACAGAUUUUUGACCACGAUACAGAAAUGAUACAGAAUACAGAAUCCAUACAGAAUGUUGAUUUUUAUUACAGCUUUGUACAGAAUUUUAGCAAUCGAUUUUUUUUAUUCUUGCUUAUUUUCCGUCGAUCUGAUUCCGCCACUGGUGGAGGCGACUCCACCCAGGACCCUAACUUACGACCCGCUGUUCAACGGACCAGCGCCAACGGCUUUACUUCCUCAUGCGAUGGAAUGCGUGAUCCCAGAGUUUUUUCGCCUCAGAAAAUCUCCCGGUGUCGGCUAGGACUAAACCUAGACCAGUUGGGUUGGUUGUGGGUGGAUCACGCCAUCCCACUACCAUCGACACCUAUGUCGGCGUUGGAAUUCUAACCCAGGCGUCGAGGGUGGUUGUUCGAGUUCUGCUGGGCGUCUGGCAUUUACUAAGCGGGAAAUUCCUUUUGUUUGAUUUCUUCUGGACAUUCGACAUUUGGCUUAACGGGAAAGCUUUGGAACAAAAAUACCGGAUUCUAUUGCCUUUCUAGCAAAAAAAAAAAAAAAAACACGGUUAUAGACCUGAGUUUUCUUUCAGGAAUUUUACCCAACCUUUUUACGGUUUCAGGCGAAGUUUGAGGUUGGAUGCCAAGCCCAGUUACCCCAAACCAGAGCACUUUUAGGCACACGAACAAAAUACAGAAAAAUACAGAUUUUUUUACGGGUGCAUACAGAUUUUUCAAAAUAAAAUCUGGCAGCUCUUAUGGUGGCGCUACACGGAUCUACUCAGUUUGGUAUUCUUAUGCAAAAUGUCAAAAAGUGAGUAAUCGAGUACUGGACAAUUGAGUAACAUUAACCCAAAUUUUCAUAAUUACCAUGUUUACUCAGUUUUGAGUUAUUAUCCAUGACGUUUACUCACCCCUGAGUAUAUGUAUAUGUCAAAAGAUUUCAACAGCAAUAUUAUCGGUUUCCGAAGAACGAUUGGUGUCGUUUUUUAUUCGUUGGCUAGCACCCAACAUCAGUAUUGCAGAGGAUUUGAAAACACCUAAAAGAUCUCUUCAAAAUGAACAACCGCAUGUUGUAUGUUCUACGAUGCCGUUUAAAGCCGGUCUUUUAUUCGUGAUAACAAACGGAAACAUUUGUAUUGAUGUACAGUGCUCAACAAUCGAUGCAAUUUAAAUUCUUCGCAGUAUUAGGUGACGAAUGAUGACGGAUUAUCUGGCACAAAAGAGUAAGUCACAGUUCACGGGCAACUGUCAACCGGUAGGGUGCCGCAUUCAAUGAAGAC